rnacentral:tRNA from 1 species
AUCUUGGUGGCUGAGUGGUAAAGCGCUUGAUUUCCAAACCGAGAAGUACUAAGUUCAAAUCUCGGUGAAGAUU